AUUGAACACUGGCGGCAGGCCUAACACAUGCAAGUCGCGCGAGCGGCGGACGGGGGAGUAAUGGCUGGGAAACUGCCUGAUGGAGGGGGAUAACUACUGGAAACGGUAGCUAAUACCGCAUACAAUCAGAUGUGCCCAGCUGGGAUUAGCUAGUAGGUGGGGGAACGGCUCACCUAGGAGACGAUCCCUAGCUGGUCUGAGAGGAUGACCAUCCACACUGGAACGGAGACACGGUCCAGACGCCUACGGGAUGCAACCGUGGGUAGUAUUGCACAAUGGGCGCAAUCCUGAUGCAGCCAUGCCGCGUGUUUGAAGAAGGCCGUCGGGUUGUAAAGCACUUUCAGCGGGGAGGCGUUACCCGCAGAAGAAACACCGGCUAACUCCGUGCCAGCAGCCGCGGUAAUUC
rnacentral:rRNA from 1 species